CAGCGCCUUCGCGGAGGGAUCUGGGAGUGAAGCGCCGGGCCGGGCGCGGGUCGCACAGGUGCUUCGGCCGGACGCGAAACGGCUUUCAGUGGUUAGAAAGAAUGGAUGAUGUAGCUGCCCCACUUCCUACUUGCACUCUUGUUUACUGGAAAAAUGCAUGGGAGAUCUGUGGAGGCGGUAAAGCGAGGAGUUCUGACUCUGGAAGGAAUUUUGCUAAAGUGAGGUCAAAAAGAGCAGUUAACAAAUGCAUCAUCACAUUCCGAUGUGUAGACUUUUUAAACCUGAAUCAUCUGUAAAGCUGAGGGCAUCGUUUGAAAACACUGACAAUUUCCUGUUAAUUUUCCCUAAAUGAAAUCAUCAAAUGCAUUUGUUUUUAUUCUGAAAAAAAUGUGCUUUGCUACAAAAUA